UCGCAGAGCCAGCAAGGGAUGAUCGGCUGGUCGUGGGUGAUCUGCUUUUUGCAAGUCUUAGCGCAUCUUUAUUAAUUAUGCCAGCGAUUUAAUUAAAAACUUAACCGACUGUAGACUUGAGCACACCCUCACUCAGCGGGGGCCCUUGAAAGGAUGCGGGAACUGCAUAAAUUGGCUUUCGCGCAUAGAAUGGCGCUGGCAAUGAUUGAAUUUGAUGACGCCUUUGCCCCCCGGCCAGGCAGAACCAAAGACAGCCCAGGGCCAAGUAGUGCAGAACGAGAUUUGGAUACAUAUUUAAAGGCUUAUUAGUUCCCGACCUGGUAUCUUCCACUUCAAACUCCAACUAGGAACUAAAAGCCUCAACUCAUAUACGAGUAUAUAUACCUCCCAAACAGACAGAGACUGAACCAUAC
rnacentral:lncRNA from 1 species